GGAUAGCGCCUGUGGCGGGG
rnacentral:misc_RNA from 1 species